AACAGUACUAGGAUACUCCUGUGCAAUACUAGGAUAGAAGAGUGCAGAAGAAAGGCAUAUUUGGAUGGAAGACAACUGAGUUGGUUUUUCUAUCACUCUUAGUUUACUGUGAAUGAGGGGGCUUUUGAAAAAUCUCUUAAAAUGGGAUUAAGGUUAAAUCAGGCUAAUUUAUUAAAGAAGAAAUAAAAAAGCUAUCACAGGAACUUCUUGUUGAAUUGACAUGGAAUGAUCCCCUUACUAGAUUCAGAAUGAACCAAAUUAUAAUUCAGAUUGAACCCCUGUACUAAGAAUAUUAUAACUGUUUGUAGUGGGAUGACGGUAAGUUUUAAUUAUAUCAGUUGUAUUGUUUUGUAAAAUAUUUAUGUAAGUAUUUGCUUCAUAUGUCAGGAAAUGAAAGCGACAAACUCAUGCAUAUUCUAGACCCUACAUCUCUUCACAAACGAUCUCUUAGAGUAAAUACUAACUUAACUGGAGGACAUUCAUCUACAUAUACUACCUACCAUUUGUAUUUGUAUUGCUGUAGCUAAUAUGCAAAAACACAUUUUUCCUAUUCAUUUCUGAUGGCCUUGAGUGGCUGUUAUGUCUGGUGAUAUCUUCGAAGAUGCCAAGGACAGGACAUGACAACCUAUCAUGUCAACUAUAAUCAUGUGGCUACCAUAUUAGGUUUCAUCAAAAACCUUGAAAAAAUGUCAGCGGUAACAAACCGUGUUCAAUCGUCACCAUAUUUGGCACAGAUCAUCUUCAGGCAAACCCAGACGGACUUUUUACUUUCAAAACUGUUUGUCCGUUACAGCCUACUGAAUGUGCCGGCGAAUUUGCCAAACAUUAAGUGAUCUCAUAUCUCGGCCAAUCUUUGGUCAAUUGACAUAAAACUUUCUGUGAGUGCUUCUGACCAUUAUGUCCUUGACAUAGUCACAUCAAGUGUCCGUAGCAACUAUGCCCUGCUGGGUUGCUUUGCGCUUGCAGCUAUAUUUACUUCUUUGUUUUUAUUGUUUUUUUUUGCCUUAUCGUGAUAUUUGGAGAGUCUUGUUGUUGUGCCAUUUUCAGAAUCCUCUCUUUUGUUAUAAAUUGUUCUUAUUAAAUAUAUUGUAUGACCUUUUGUGCCGUAUGAAAAGAUGCUAUUUAUACCAUUCAUGUGUAUAUGUGACCCUUACAACUAUACUUUCUUCCCCAAAUAAACAUGCUCUAAAGCUCUACUGACCUCUGACAGGAAAUUAUUGUUAUUGUUUUUCAUUUUGCAAGUAUUUUUAGAAGUAAAUAUGUAUUCAUUAGUAAGUUUGCAAGUAUUUAUUUCUAGUUCUUGGUGUUCUGAUGAACCCUCCACAUGCUUGUGUUUCCAUGUGCUGUCAUUAGUCAGGCACAGGUAAAGAGCUGUUCCACCGCUGAGUGUCAGUAGUCAGGCACAGGUAAAGAGCUGUUCUAUCCCUGAGUGUCAGUCAUUAGUCAGGCACAGGUAAAGAGCUGUUCUACCCCUGAGUGUCUCUGAGUAGCUCUGCCAGGUCCUAUCCUGAUUGUUCAUUGUUUUUUCACA
ensembl:lncRNA